CAAGCUUUUAUACCAGUUAGAAACACAGUUAUCAACACACCUGUUUUUAACAAAAAAAUAAACAUAAACACAGGUGAAUCACACUAAAUUUGGUUAUUACAUAGGUAAAUUUAGAAAAGAAAAAAGAAACUAAAAAUUUAAAUCGACAACCAUGUUUUUACCUGCAUUUAGUUGAUAUAUUUGAACUUAUGAUACUUCGAAUUUUCAUUUUCCAUUUUGCAUUCAUGUCCAUUUGGAUUUGGAUAUAUAUGAUCCUCUAAAUAUAUAAAAAAAAACCUUAAAAAAAUCAAUAAACUCAUGUUAGCCACAAAAUAUAUCAGAUUCUUAACCAAAAAAAUCCAAACAAUAUAGAUCUCCACCUACUGAUUUAUGUAACAUGGCUUUGAAACCUGUUCUAAAAUAAUCCAUUCUUUCAUGUAAUGCGUGGUAGUUGACUCCCACCUCCCUGCCGGCUCCAAUUUAUAUUCUUGUUGAAAAUUACAUCAGUGACAGUCUCUUCAAUCGCAUCUUGCUCAACCAAUUGGGGUGU
rnacentral:lncRNA from 1 species